rnacentral:lncRNA from 1 species
AAGUUCUCCUACCACCCUGUACUUGCCCUUACAGCACUCAUCACAGCUUUGCCUAAAUAAUUAUGUAUUUAAAUCCUGACUCUCUCAAGAGUAGAAAUGCCAUGUCUGAGGCCAUAUCUGUGCUCCCCAACUUAUUAAUAUUUGGCCUUGUUGACAUCUUAGGCUUUCCCUUUCUCAUCCCACCUGCACUCGAGUUUCUCAUCCUUAAAUGAUAUGGCAAUCUCUGGUCAAAGCACUUGCAGAUAAAUGCAUAUGGUGAUGGUAUUUAUUAGAAUCAUAUUUUAUUGGAAGUACCUAACAUUGGGUGUAAAGGAAGCCUGGUCAAGUUUCCAAUAGAGAUUUACAAUUGGACCUCUUUGUAUCUCAGUUAUCCAAGUUAGCCUGUUUGCAAAGCCUUUGCCCUUUCCAUUAGACUACACAGCAUCUUAAAAUAUUCUGGCUGCUUACUUGAGAGGUAAGUAUCAGUUGGGAACUUACUCACUUCCUUCUUUGUUUCAAUAUACAACCCAGAAUGCUUUACAAAUUCUGCAGAAUUAGCCAGUGCUCAUGUUUAGGCAUAUCAUAGAUUUUUUAAAAUGGCUAAUGUUGCUGUUCCUCUCCUUG